GGGAAGCGUAAAUAGUGAAUUAACGAUAGAGCGAAUUUUAGCCUUAGCAAUAUAAACGAAAUUCGUAGAAUACGUUAAACUAAGAACAUCGAUAAAAAGAACGCCCAAAUCUGACUUCAUAUGAAGAAGUUAUGAUUUUUCUAAGUUUUGGAUUAGCAGUGUACAGCCCGAAACUCGAAUUUUAGUUCGAGCGGUUUUAGCUUUCGCAACCUAAAUGAGAGUUGAAGAUCUCAUUAAUAGUAACUCAACGGUAAAAAUAUAGACGAAAACAGAGUCCGUAUGAAGGAGUUACGAAUUCUUCGUGGUCAUUUAACAGUCUAAACGCCUCCUACUAUUAAAUUUGAGAUCGGUCGAGAAUUAGCCAACGGAGUCAAAAUGAAAGUUGUAGAUCUUGAUUUUACCUACGCGUUGAAAAAAAGAACGUCAAAAACGGAGCUCGUAUGCGAGAGUUAUGAUUUUUCUAAGUUUGAAGGUUGAUACGCGAUAAGGGGUGACGUGGCACCACCAGAAUUGGACAUGUGGCACCACCAGAAGGAAACCACAUGCACCAACUCGGCGAGUAGGCCCCCCUACUCGGCAAUUCCAUCAGAUGUUUUCACUAUAAAUAGAGGUGUCGGGUCUAGCCUCUUCUUCACAACUACCAAACUCACUUUCUCUCUCUAGCCUCCCAAACCCCCCCUAAAGCCUAGGUAAACCCCCUAGCACCCGAAGGAAGCCCCGAGGCUCCCGGAGCCCCAAGAAAAGAGCCUUUCGGCUCGGGAAUGCUGCUCCAGCGAAGCCCGGUUUUCGAGAAAACCCGCUGUAAGCGAGCUAUGCCUACCCAAUCUUUAGUAUAACUUAUGUUUUAAUAUAGUAAUGCUAUUAGGAACUUAUAAUGAGUAUUUGGUCUAUUAUUAUGAGUUAUAUUGAGUGUUAUUUAACACUUAUAUAAUAAUAAUAAUAAUACCUAGACUAUUAAUUUUUUGCGGUUAUCGUUAGACUAAACCCUAGUGGUACUGGUAUUAGGUUUUAUCGAAGGAAAAUUGUUUUGAGAGUAUCGAACCACUGUCCGAGUACUGCGUCACCACCUUUCAGGUGAGUGCAUGGUCCCCUUCAACUUACACAUAGAUAUGAAGUAUUUACUACGUGCUAUGUGUGCAUAUUGUCUGUUUACUUGCUGUCUAUGCUCGGUGAAAGAUUUUAUACAUGUUUUAAAUUAUUUAAACUAUAUAUGUAUUUUAUAUCUACGAAAAUGUUGGGGGAAAACAUGGGUAGAUAUAAUAGAUGAAAUUUGAGUUGGACGAUGAGUUGAGAGGUGAUAUAGAACAUGAGGUAUGGGUGAGAGGUGUAUGAUGUGAGAAGCCUUUUUCCCAAACGAUGUCCCCGUCGUUCAGCAUAGUAUGGAUGACAACCACGGACUAUUCUAGACACUCCGGUGGAACACUAGCAGGCUUGCAACCUGUAGGUGUUUUGAACGAUGUGUUCACCCGGUGUACUCUAAACCUUGGUGACCAUGCAGACUUGGUGCCUAAACCUUGGUGAUCCUGCAGACUUGGUGCCUAAACCUUGGUGAUCAUGCAGACUUGAUGCCUAAACCCUGACACUAUGCAGACUUAGUGCCUAAACCCAGACUAUGCAGACUUAGUGCCCGUUGUGUAAACCAUGGAAACGAUGGACUUCGUGCCGAUUCCUUUGGAUGAUCCUUAGGAACGAAUGAAUGAGGAAUAAGCUGAUUCUUAGGGUAGAUCCUUAAGAAUAGAGAAUAUAAUGGGGAUGGGUAAUGGGGUUUAAUUGCUUGAUUGUUUAAACAUAAUAAUUAUAUUAUUGUGGGUUGAAAACCCUAUGUACUCACCAGGUUUCCCAACCUGACCCACUCAGUUUAUUUAUAUCAUAGGUGUUGAUAUGAAGUCACAUUACACUGAGAGAUUUAAAAGGAUGUAGAUCACUAGUGUAAAUAAAUGUAAGUUCUGUUUAUGCUUAUGUUUUUGUGUUAACGAUGACAUCCCAAACGUUUUAAAAUGAAAUAAAUACGUUUCUUCGAAAAUNNNNNNNNNNNNNNNNNNNNNNNNNNNNNNNNNNNNNNNNNNNNNNNNNNNNNNNNNNNNNNNNNNNNNNNNNNNNNNNNNNNNNNNNNNNNNNNNNNNNNNNNNNNNNNNNNNNNNNNNNNNNNNNNNNNNNNNNNNNNNNNNNNNNNNNNNNNNNNNNNNNNNNAUUUAUUUCUUAAACUUAGAAUGCUAAGUGAUGAUUGUGAGGUGUGAGCACUAGCUUUUUUAGGAAUGAUGCCUAAAUUGCUUUAUGUGCUAAAUGAUUUGGUAAGCUAUAGUUUGAUCGGAUCUAUGGUCUGUUGCCGACCGGAUCUGGAAACCUUAUGUGUUUAGGAUUAUAAACGUACGAAUACGAUAUUAGAACUAGCAUAUAAACGUUUCGGAGUUAUAAGGAUGAUUUAAACAUCAAUCCUAAAUAAAGGUCUAGAUUCACCUUGUUCAGUGUAUAGAUCAAGAUGGAAAGGACCCGUAGCGGAAACGUGAAUGCAAAUGAGAAUAGGAACCAACCCCCAGUGGUUCAACAAAUACCUGUUGUAGAAGAAGUUGCACCUGAGCCAGUCACCAUGGAUGGAGUUCAAGCCAUGAUUCGGGAUAUGUUAGCUGAACAAAGGGAAGAAAUGAGGCAGAUGUUGAAUAGGGAUGAACCUACUAUGCCCAUUGAGCAACCUAAACUGAUUCCCGAGCAAUCGGAGGAAGGGAACUACAGCCACCAAAUGGGUCAAGUGGGGACUCAAGGUGAACGGAGGGAUGGCCCAGAAAGGAGAAACGACAAGGAUGGGUGAAUGUACAAGAAUUUCUUAGGUGCGAAACCACCAAGUCUCUCAGGAAGCCCAAAGCCGGUUGAGAUUAUGGAUUGGAUCUCCGAGAUGGAGAUGGUGUUUGAGAGCUACAGCUGUAGCGAGAAACAGAAGACUGUCUUCGCAGUAAGACAACUGAAAACUGGAGUCUUGAGUUGGUGGAAGCUAUUGGCAGAUACGAUGCCACGAGGAGAAGCCCUAAGGAUGUCAUGGGAAGAGUUCUUGGAACAGUUGAAAAUGCAGUACUGCUCAGAGAUAGAUCUGAUAGACCUAAACAACGAGUUUCAGAACCUAAAGAAAGGGAAGAUGAGUGUUGAUGAGUAUGCCACCGCAUUCACCGAGAGGAUGAAGCUAUUUCCCUACUUGGUUCCUACUGAACUCUCAAAGAUCGAUAGGUUUGCUAACGGACUGCCCACAGACUUCGGUCCAAUGGCCAAAAUGGAAACUACCUUGAAAAUAGUUGUUAUAGCAGCUAAGAAUGUAGAGACCCAGAUAAGAGAAAGGGGUCUAGAAAAAGACAAGGCAGGAAAAAAAAGGAAGCAUGAAGGAUCUUCAAAAUCCAACAAAGAAUGGAAAUUCUCAAAAACGGAAGAAAGAGGAGGAGGAGGUGAAUCCAAGUGGUGCGAGAAGUGUAAAAAGAAUCACUUCGGGAAAUGUGGCGAGGAGGUGACUUGCUACAAAUAUGGAAAGAUAGGGCAUUACGCUAGCAAGUGUACGUCCAACAAGAAGGUGUGCUAUGAAUGUAACAAAGAAGGGCAUAUCUCUAGGGACUGCCCAAAGAAAAACGAGGCAGCAAGGCUAAACACACCACCAAGGCCAAUGACAUUCCACAUGAUCCUCGACGAAGCAGAAAACCAUGCGAGGGAUCAAGGAUGAGGACUUCAUAUACGAAGAUCAAGUUAUGCAGUAGCCAUAAUAUCGUAUGAUGUAGCCUAUUAAAGGCAUAGUCUAGGGUGAACUUGAACACCUAUGUAAUCGUUUCAAGAAUUAAUAUAGCCUUCGUUUUGUUCUCUGAUGUGUUAAACUGUUAUGUGAUUUUCUUGUAUGGUGAAUUGGAAAAAUGCGAGACAAUACUUGGGACGAGUAUGAGUAGGUGUGAAAAGUAGUAAAUGCAGACUACCGGAAGCACAGGACUCACGCUUGGAUCAUGGAAAGUCCCAAGGUUACCAAGAAGCUAGUAAAUGAUUUCGUUUUAUUCAAGCAUGUCGUUACCAUCGUUUCGGUAAUGACUAAGAGGAUGAUUGUUAUUCCGACCCUAGUGGUCAUAUCGAAUUGAGUUCGACUAUGAUAAGUAUGUUACGUGGUUCGGAGAACCAAGUUUGAUGUAACGUCCGACUUAAACCAAACGAUUGAAAUCAAAGUGAUCAAUAGAAGUAUCGUGCUCGCUAUUAAAAGAAGUUGGUAGCUAGAAAUGCUACAUGUUAAAAUGUGAUUAUAUCACAUUAGACCAUGAAGGAAGGCAUAUUCCAUUUCGGAAUUUGACUCUAAGAGACCUGAGUCUAAGCAUUGCUACAUACGAUGAUAGGUCAUUAGAAUAUGACACAUCGGUAAAUUGUAGUAAUCAAAUUAAAUUAUCCUAAGUUUGUUAAGAAGAAUAAGGAGUCUCUGAUAAAGAAUGAGGUUGUGACACGAAGGUCAUGAUUGAAAGUCUAACGAGCAGGUGCAAGACCGCGCACCGCCUGCAGUCAAGGAGUCCAAGAGUUAGAUACUCGUUCGAAGCAACAUAGAAGUUACAGUUAUUACCUAGGAUGAAGAGAUAACGUAUGGAGUCAUUAUACAAUCCUGUUUCGUUGAUGAUUCCAGGACGCAAUCAUCCUAAGGGGGAGAUAAUUGUAACGCCCGUAGAUCCGGGCUAGUCAAUUUAGAGGCAGUAAGUGUCGAAAACGACAUUUCGGCAAAAGAUUAUUUAUAAUAAAUAGUCUUAACCAAGUUUUAGAAUAUGUCUCAAGGUUUCCGUACAUAUAAAGAACACCGAAAUCCAAGUUAUAACGAAGAAGUUAUGGCCCGUCGAAGUUUUACGGCAAAACCGACACGGCACCGGGAAGCGUAAAUAGUGAAUUAACGAUAGAAUGAACUUUAGCCUUAUCAAUAUAAACGAAAUUCAUAGAAUACGUUAAACUAAGAACAUCGAUAAAAAGAACGCCCAAAUCUGACUUCAUAUGAAGAAGUUAUGAUUUUUCUAAGUUUCGGAUUAGCAGUGUACAACCCGAAACUCGAAUUUAGUUCGAGCGGUUUUAGCUUACGCAACCUAAAUGAGAGUUGAAGAUCUCAUUAAUAGUAACUCAACAGUAAAAAGAUAGACGAAAACGGAGUCCGUAUGAAGGAGUUACGAAUUCUUCGUGGUCAUUUAACAGUCUAAACGCCUCCUACUAUUAAAUUUGAGAUCGGUCGAGAAUUAGCCGACGGAGUCAAAAUGAAAGUUGUAGAUCUUGAUUUUACCUACGCGUUGAAAAAAAGAACGUCAAAAACGGAGCUCGUAUGCGAGAGUUAUGAUUUUUCUAAGUUUGAAGGUUGAUACGCGAUAGGGGGUGACGUGGCACCACCAGAAUUGGACACGUGGCACCACCAGAAG
rnacentral:lncRNA from 1 species